AUCACUGGGCGUAAAAGGGCACGCAGCGGACCUGGUCAAGCGGUCUUGUGAAAGCCCCCGGCUUAACCGGGGAAUUUCUGGGCGAACUGGCAGUCUUGAGGCAAGGUAAGGGCGAGCGGAACUCUUGGUGGAGCGGUGGAAUGCGUAGAUAUCAAGAGGAACGCCGGAGGCGAAAGCGGCUCGCUGGGCCUGACCUGACGCUGAGGUGCGAAAGCCAGGGGAGCGAACGGGAUUAGAUACCCCGGUAGUCCUGGCCAUAAACGAUGUCCACUAGAUCGGUGAACUUCUGACAGUGCGCCGGUCGAAACAAAAGCGUUAAGUGGACCGCCUGGGGAGUACGGUCGCAAGGCUAAAACUCAAAGGAAUUGACGGGGGCUCACACAAGCGGUGGAGCAUGUUGCUUAAUUCGAUGCAACGCGAAGAACCUUAUCCUGGACUUGACAUGUUAGGAUGCCUCCCUGGAAACAGGGUUGGUUGCCCUUCGGGGUGAAACUUUCACAGGUGCUGCAUGGCUGUCGUCAGCUCGUGUCGUGAGAUGUUGGGUUAAGUCCCGUAACGAGCGAAACCCUUGUCGUUAGUUGCCAGCGCGUAAUGGCGGGGACUCUAGCGAGACUGCCGGUGUUAAACCGGAGGAAGGUGGGGAUGACGUCAAGUCCUCAUGGCCUUUAUGUCCAGGGCUGCAAACGUGCUACAAUGGCGUGUACAAACCGACGCAAGACCGCGAGGUGGAGCAAAUCGGAAAAAGCACGCCCCAGUUCGGAUUGGAGUCUGCAACUCGACUCCAUGAAGUCGGAAUCGCUAGUAAUCGCGUAUCAGCUCGACGCGGUGAAUGUGUUCCUGAGCAUUGUACACACCGCCCGUCAAGUCAUGGAAGCUGGGAGCGCCCGAAGUCG
rnacentral:rRNA from 1 species